GCUUUGAUGGAUGGCGACCGGCGCACGGGUGAGUAACACGUAUCCAACCUGCCGACAACACUGGGAUAGCCUUUCGAAAGAAAGAUUAAUACCGGAUGGCAUAAUUAUUCCGCAUGGGAUAAUUAUUAAAGAAUUUCGGUUGUCGAUGGGGAUGCGUUCCAUUAGGCAGUUGGCGGGGUAACGGCCCACCAAACCUACGAUGGAUAGGGGUUCUGAGAGGAAGGUCCCCCACAUUGGAACUGAGACACGGUCCAAACUCCUACGGGAGGCAGCAGUGAGGAAUAUUGGUCAAUGGACGAGAGUCUGAACCAGCCAAGUAGCGUGAAGGAUGACUGCCCUAUGGGUUGUAAACUUCUUUUAUACGGGAAUAAAGUGAGCCACGUGUGGCUUUUUGUAUGUACCGUAUGAAUAAGGAUCGGCUAACUCCGUGCCAGCAGCCGCGGUAAUACGGAGGAUCCGAGCGUUAUCCGGAUUUAUUGGGUUUAAAGGGAGCGUAGGCGGGUUGUUUAAGUCAGUUGUGAAAAGUUUGCGGCUCAACCGUAAAAUUGCAGUUGAUACUGGCGACCUUGAGUGCAACAGAGGUAGGCGGAAUUCCUGGUGUAGCGGUGAAAUGCUUAAAUAUCACGAAGAACUCCGAUUGCGAAGGCAGCUUACUGGAUUGUAACUGAC
rnacentral:rRNA from 1 species